rnacentral:rRNA from 1 species
AUGGCCUCUACGGAAACCACUGGCAGCAGCAAGAAGCUGCGUGUGCUCCUCAUCCCCUUCUUCGCCUCCAGCCACAUCGGACCCUUCACCGAGCUCGCCGUUAGCCUUGCGACGGCCAGACCACAGGCCGUAGAGGCCACCAUCGCGGUGACGCCGGCGAACGUGCCGUUCGUCCAGUCGUUGCUCCAGCGGCACGAGAACAGCAGUGGCAUACCGGUGAAGGUGGCGACGUACCCGUUCCCGGCCGUGGACGGCCUCCCGAGGGGCGUCGAGAACCUCGGCGUGGCCGCGGCGCAGUCACCGGACGCGCUCGUCACCGACGUGCACUUCAUGUGGAACGCCGGCGUCUGCGACGGGCUCGGCGUGCCAUGCGUCACGUUCAACUUCAUUGGUGCCUUCUCGACGCUCGCGAUGCGCCAUCUAUUGGGCCGCGUUUCCAACGGCGAGCCGGAGGUGGUGACUACCAUCCCUCGGUUUCCGGCCCCCGAGAUACGAGUGCCGACGGUGGAGCUGCCGGAGUACUUGAGGAGCCAAGGGAAGGGUGACCAAUCCACCUUCGACCGGCUCUACGCCGUGCAAGGUGACUGCUUCGGGCUGGCCGUCAACACAUCAUCAGAUCUGGAGGAGCACUACUGCGGGAUGUACGUGGGCAAUGGCUACGCGAAGCGUGCGUACAUGCUAGCUAGGCCCCCUGUCACUGCGACUGCCGUCCCAAGCCGGUCGGUGGUGUACGUGUGCUUCGGCAGCCUCGCCCACGUCUCCGACGCUCAGCUGGACGAGCUCGCCCUCGGGCUCGAGGCCUCAGGGAUGGCGUUCCUGUGGGUGGUGAGGACGGAUAAGUGGUCUCCCCCGGAGCGGUGGCACGGGCGUGUUGGAGGCAGGGGCAUGGUGGCCACCGCCUGGGCUCCCCAAAGGGCUAUCCUGGGGCACCGGGCGGUGGGGGCCUUCGUGACACACUGCGGGUGGAAGUCCGUCCCGGAGACGGUGGCGGCGGGCGUGCCGGUGCUCACAUGGCCAAUAGUGUUCGAGCAGUUCAUCACCGAGAGGCUGCUGACGGAGGUCCUAGGGAUCGGGGAGCGGCUGUGGCCGGCCGGCGCCGGUGUUCGGAGCACGAGGUAUGAAGAGAAGGAGGUGAUCCCCGCCCAAGAUGUGGCACGGGCAUUGACGACAUUCAUGCAGCCUGGAGGGCCGGGGGAUGCGGCGAGGAGCAGAGUUAUGGGCCUGGCCUCCAAGGUUCACGCCGCGGUGGCGGAAGGAGGAUCCUCCGACCGUGAUCUGCACCGCUUGAUAGAUGACCUCAUGGAAGCUGUCGGUGCCGCUGCCGGAAGGACGACGAUAUGA